UAUAAUACUUCGACUCUUCAUCUUAUUUAAAUUUUUUUACAAUUAAUAUUUUUAUUGAUACUAGAUGAUAAAACAUGAAUAACAAUUUAUGCGUGACUAAUUUUUUAAUUUUUUUAUAAAUUUCUCAAAUAAGAUGAAUGGCCAAACUUUAUACACAGAAAUCGA
rnacentral:pre_miRNA from 1 species